CUUGAAAGAGACACAAAACAACUACAAAAGACCCACAAAACUACUACAAAGACCCACAAAACUACUUCAAAGAGACACAAAACAACUACAAAGACCCACAAAACUACUUCAAAGAGACACAAAACAACUACAAAAGACCCACAAAACUACUUCAAAGAGACACAAAACAACUACAAAAAGACCCACAAAACUACUUCAAAGAGACACAAAACAACUACAAAGACCCACAAAACAACUACAAAGACCCACAAAACUACUACAAAGAGACACAAAACAACUACAAAGAGACACAAAACUACUUUCAAAGAGACACAAAACUACUUUCAAAGAGCCACAAAACUACUACAAAGAGACACAAAACUACUUCAAAGAGACACAAAACUACUUCAAAGAGACACAAAACAACUACAAAGACCCGUAAAACUACUUCAAAGGCCCCUCAAAACAACUCCAAAGACCCACAAAAUAACUACAAAGACCCAAAAAACAACUACAAAUACCCACAAAGCAACUACAAAGAGACACAAAACAACUACAAAGACCCACAGAACUACUUCAAAGUGACACAAAACAACUACAAAGAGACACAAAACAACUACAAAGACCCAACAACAACAAAGUGACACAAAACAUCUACAAAGAGACACAAAACAACUACAAAGACCCAACAACUACAAAGUGACACAAAACAACUACAAAGAGGCACAAAACAACUACAAAGAGGCACAUAACAACUACAAAGACCCAACAACUACAAAGUGACACAAAACAACUACAAAGAGACACAAAACAACUACAAAGUGACACAAAACAACUACAAAGAGGCACAUAACAACUACAAAGACCCAACAACUACAAAGUGACACAAAACAACUACAAAGAGACACAAAACAACUACAAAGACCCAACAACUACAAAGUGACACAAAACAACUACAAAGAGGCACAAAACAACUACAAAAACCCAAGAACUACAAAGUGACACAAAACAACUACAAAGAGGCACAAAACAACUACAAAGACCCAACAACUACAAAGUGACACAAAACAACUACAAAGAGGCACAAAACAACUACAAGGAGGCUGCUCUUAACUGAGGCUCCCGUAGGCUGUGUCCUGUUUUCACAGGUGAUUACCUGAAGAUGCUGAUUGUCAGAAAAAAGGACUUCAUCCAGCAAUCAAAACAUCUACAAACCUGAACUGUAAGAUGAGGUGAUGAUUAUUUAAGUCAGUGGUUCCCAAAAUGUUUCUAUCAAGCCCCCCUUUGAUGUCAACACCUAGAACCCCCCCCCACACAGACACAUCCUCUGGGGAACAUGAUUGUCUUUACAGCAUUUAAAGAAUCCGAUAGCUGAGACAAAACCACGGGAGCCGUCCUGAUGGAGUCCCGCUAACGCUUGUUGGUAUCUAGGUCAACGGGAUCAUGGGAAAAACUACCGGCUCCAUUUUCAUGGACGAAGAAUUGAAGGUGAAGAAUAUCUGACACAUCAAAUCCCUCCCCCAUAGAUGAGGGAGCUUCCCCUCGGUUUCCACGACAACAGGAGGCGGGUCAUUCCAUGAUGUUCUGCGCUGUUCGCUGACAAAACGUAUUGACCCACACACACCUCUCUCUCUCUCUCUCUCUCUCUCUCUCCCCCGUCUUCCCUGUUCCAUUUGGCUUUGGCCUAAUUCUUCUCUUUCAUCCCUUCCCAUGCUUUCUCUGUGUCUCUACUUUCUCUCCCCCCUUCACCCCUCACCCAUCCAUUCAUCCAGGCCCCCCCCCUCCCUCCACAGUGACUCUUCAGCCUCGGGACAAACUUCUAUAAUUCAUCAUUACUCCUCAUAAGCUGUCCUUCUUCCCUCAUCUCCCUCCUCGAGUGUCUCCAUUCAUUCCUUUCAACCUUCAUUUGUUUGGUCAUUAAUUUCCCUCCCUUCAAUCUGUCGUCCUUCCUCACUUAACCGUUUGACUCCCUGAUUUUAGGAUUGUGUUGAUGUGUCACGAUGACGUGGAGACAAACUGAGUGUGAAUCAAUUAUUCUCGUUCCUUAACCUUUAAUAAAAUGCCGCUAACAACAUGUAAUAAUAAUAAACUGAUAAUGAAAAUAACUCCUCAUGUUUGAGAUGCAUUUUGGAAGCGAACAGUGCUAACAGCUAACAGUGCUAACAGCUAACAGUGCUAACAGAUAAUACUGUAUGUUGUCGUGGUAACGCUACUCAUCGCUACUCUGAUGUUUUGAAGCCUCAAUCUCUGCAAUUCUGUCUCGGCCAUCUUGGAUUAUUGUUUUUUGUUUUGUUUGAACAUUUAAAACUUUUUCGGUUGCUUUGAUUAUUUCAAUAUUCAAUAUUUAUCUAAAUAGUUUGUGACAUGAAGCCAAUCUCAGUGUAAACAAAAACUCCUCUAAAAACCUGCAGCUUUUAAAUGAGAUGUAUUUUUUAACUUUGAACAAGAAGCAGAGAGAAGGAGAUAAGGAGAUGAUGUAAAAGGAAGGAGGAAAGGACAAAGGGUUUAGGAGGGGAGAGGAGGAGAUGAGAGUACGGAAGGAGUGAUGGAGACAGAAAGAGAUGAUGGGAAGGAAAGAAGGAAAAUAAAAAAGUGGGGAAGGGAGUGAGUGAAGAUGGAAAUGAGAAAGAGGAGAGAAAGGGGAGGAAGGAGGGAGGAAAGGAGGUGAUUAACAACAGAAACAUCAGCUCUUUUUUGUCCUCAUCAUCUGUUUUCUUCUUCUCUUAUUGUUUCACGCUUCCUUUCCUCUGACUCUUCUUUCCUUCUUCCACCUUCCCUCUCGUUUCCUUUCCUGUCCUCUCUCCCCUUCUAUCCUUCCCUAAUGCUUCUCUCUCUCUCUCUCUCUGUACUUACUACUCCCUAUUUAGUCUCUUUUAAAUCUCCUCUGGUUUCUUCCUCUUCUCCCUCUAUUUGUGUAUUCCUCAUUUUUAUCCCCCCCUUUGCCUCUCUUUCUCCUCUCUUCCUUCAUCUUCUGUUUCCUUCCCUCGUUGACGGUCUGUAAAAUCAACUUUUUUUCUGACAAAUGUCGAGGAAGGGAGAGAGAGGGGGGGGGGGGGGAGCAAGAAUGAGAGAGACAGAGAGAGAGAGGGGGGGGGGGGGGUGUUGCUUGGAGACGGUUGCUGUGUAACAUGAGGAGAAGAGGAGAGCGGGAGUCAAGUGAGAUGUUGCUAUGACAACGCAGGUUUCACGCUGUCACUGGUUUUAGCGUGUCGGAAGUGCCCCGGGGAUCAGCAGCAUAUGGAGAGGAAUGCAACACACACACACACACACCUACACACACACACACGCACACACACGCACACACACACACACACACACACACACACACACACACACGCGUGCAUGUUGAUUGAACGUCUUCAGUUCUGCACGUACAUUAACGCGUUUGACAAGAAGUCAGUUAUCAUGGUUCAUCCUGGGGGGACCGGGGAGGAUAAACCACUUUUAGUCCAUCACACAUGUUUGAGAAUAUCGAUCCUUGAGUAUGCAGCUUCUGGUGUGCUGGAGGAAAUGUUGAUCAGGAGGGUCCAUCCUGACGGGAGCAUGAAUGUCGCAGAGACAUUUCAGUCCGACCGACUGUCCCCCAGAGCCACAGCGGCUGAAUUGAUUCUCUACGUUACCCACAAUCCAUCACAGUAGUUUGUUUGUAAUCUUCACACCCAGAAGUAUUUUUAACAUACAGAAAAAAAUGAGACAAAUGUUAGGGAGGGAGCAUCACGUCAAAGCCUUAAGGCGGGGAUGCUUUAGGGCGGGGCUACACGCUGAUUGACAGGUCGACACCAGACACCUGGUCAGAUACCUCCAGCCAAAGAACAUGUUUAGAGGGUCUGUGAAAACAUCUGCUGCUGAGUGGGCGUCGUCCUUCACGCGACCUCCAGAGGGCGCCGCUCAGGAAACGUCUCUGGACAAAAUGACCGAUGCAUUUGUUUCUCUUCUUCUCUUACUGAGGACAUUCAGCAGAAACAGAGCGACAUGUGAUCUGCUGGAGAUGCACUGCAGCACCAUACUGCACCACACACACACACACACACACCAGAGCACCCGUCCAUCCGUGUGUUCCUGCAGCACCGCCAGCCAUCGGUUUUUUAAAUUCCUAUAUUUUGUUUAGUUUUUCUCUCCAACGUUAAAUCCAAACCUCUGACUUCAGUUUCUGCUUUUUUUAGAUGAAAUACAAAGAACACAUUUGAACACAAAUGCACAACAACGACUCAUUAGUUUUUAGGGUUAUAUAGUUAGUAAACCGACACGGACCUAAAGUAAGUGGAGAUUUUGUCAGAUUGGAUCUCAUUACUCUACCCAGCAUGCAUCUACAUUACCCAGCAUGCAUCUACAUUACCCAGCAUGCAACUAAAGAAACAACUCUUCAGACUUCACCUUCACUAAAAACACUAGACAUAUUGUAGCACUUAAAAUGAUACUUGUAGUGGCUCUUAUCUAUGUAUAGACAUGUCUAUGUCUAUAUAUUAUAUAU
ensembl:lncRNA